UACAGAGGGUGCGAGCGUUAAUCGGAAUUACUGGGCGUAAAGGGCGCGUAGGCGGAUUAAUAAGUAAGAUGUGAAAUCCCCGGGCUUAACCUGGGAACAGCAUUUUAGACUGUUAGACUAGAGUACAGUAGAGGGUGGCGGAAUUUCCGGUGUAGCGGUGAAAUGCGUAGAUAUCGGAAAGAACACCAGUGGCGAAGGCGGCCACCUGGGCUGAUACUGACGCUGAGGCGCGAAAGCGUGGGGAGCAAACAGG
rnacentral:rRNA from 1 species